rnacentral:rRNA from 1 species
GAUGAACGCUGGCGGCGUGCCUAAUACAUGCAAGUCGAGCGAACAGACGAGGAGCUUGCUCCUCUGACGUUAGCGGCGGACGGGUGAGUAACACGUGGAUAACCUACCUAUAAGACUGGGAUAACUUCGGGAAACCGGAGCUAAUACCGUAUAAUAUAUUGAACCGCAUGGUUCAAUAGUGAAAGACGGUUUUGCUGUCACUUAUAGAUGGAUCCGCGCCUCAUGAGCUAGUUGGUAAGGUAACGGCUUACCAAGGCAACGAUUCGUAGACGACGUGAGAGAGGGGUCGCCCACCCUGGAACGGGAACACCCUCCAGACGCCUACGGGAGGCAGCAGUAGGGAACGGUCCGCAAUAGGCGAGAGCCUGACGGAGCAACGCGGCGUGAGUGAUGGCGGCCCUCGGAUCGUAAAGCUCUGUUAUUGGUGAAGAACCAAUUUGGAAGUAACUAUGCACUUAGUGACGGUACUGGGUCAGAAAGCCCCGGCUAACUACGUG